rnacentral:rRNA from 1 species
AUAUUACUAGGCGGAGGAAAAGAAACUAACAAGGAUUCCCUCAGUAACGGCGAGUGAAGCGGGAAAAGCUCAGACUGAAAAUCUUCGGAGUUGUAGUCUGGAGAAGUGGCAUAAGAAUGGAGUGUGGAGAAAGUCUACUGGAACGUAGCGCCAAGGAGGGUGAUAGCCCCGUUUCUCUGCAUCUCUUUUUAUUCUAUCCACUUUCAAAGAGUCGAGUUGUUUGGGAUUGCAGCUCUAAGCGGGUGGUAAAUUCCAUCUAAAGCUAAAUAUUGGUGGGAGACCGAUAGCGCACAAGUA